rnacentral:rRNA from 1 species
AUUGAACGCUGGCGGAAUGCUUUACACAUGCAAGUCGAACGGCAGCACGGACUUCGGUCUGGUGGCGAGUGGCGAACGGGUGAGUAAUAUAUCGGAACGUGCCCAGUCGUGGGGGAUAACGUAGUGAAAAUUACGCUAAUACCGCAUACGAUCUAUGGAUGAAAGCGGGGGAUAGCAAGACCUCGCGCGAUUGGAGCGGCGGAUAUCAGAUUAGGUAGUUGGUGAGGUAAAGGCUCACCAAGCCGACGAUCCGUAGCUGGUCUGAGAGGACGACCAGCCACACUGGAACUGAGACACGGUCCAGACUCCUACGGGAGGCAGCAGUGGGGAAUUUUGGACAAUGGACGCAAGUCUGAUCCAGCCAUUCCGCGUGCAGGACGAAGGCCUUCGGGUUGUAAACUGCUUUUGUACAGAACGAAAAGGUCUCUAUUAAUACUAGGGGCUCAUGACGGUACUGUAAGAAUAAGCACCGGCUAACUACGUGCCAGCAGCCGCGGUAA